rnacentral:rRNA from 1 species
CAAUAGCGUAUAUUAAAGUUGUUGUGGUUAAAAAGCUCGUAGUUGGAUUUCUGUUGAGGACGACCGGUCCGCCUCUGGGUGAGUAUCUGGCUCGGCCUUGGCAUCUUCUUGGAGAACGUAACUGCACUUGACUGUGUGGUGCGGUAUCCAGGACUUUUUACUUUUUGAGGAAAAUUAGAGUGUUUCAAGCAGGCACACGCCUUGAAUACAUUAGCAUGGAAUAAUAAGAUAGGACCUUGGUUCUAUUUUGUUGGUUUCUAGAGCUGAGGUAAUGAUUAAUAGGGAUAGUUGGGGGCAUUCGGUAUUUAACUGUCAGAGGUGAAAUUCU